CGCCUGUUUACAAAAACAUGGCUCUCUGUAUAUUGAAGAUAGAGAGUCGGACCUGCCCAGUGAAUUUUUUAACGGCCGCGGUACUCUGACCGUGCAAAGGUAGCAUAGAUCAUUUGCCUUAUAAUUGAAGGCUAGAAUGAAUGGUUUGACAAGAAUACAACUGUCUCUUUACAAUUACAUAAAAUUUUAUCUGCAGUUGAAGAAGCCUGCAUUUGAAUAAAAGACAAGAAGACCCUAUCGAGCUUAAAAAAAACUGGUGGAAUAACAAACUUAAUCCUAACUUAUAAAUAAAUAAAUAGUCAACUACUGGAAAUUUUGGUUGGGGCGACCGGGGAACAAAAAAAACUUCCUUUAUAAAAAUUUAGAUGCCCAAAUAUUGAUCCAGCAUUAUAUGAUUAAAGAAAUUAGUUACCGUAGGGAUAACAGCAUUAUCUUUUUUAAGAGUUCUUAUCGAAAAAAAGGUUUGUGACCUCGAUGUUGGACCAGAAUAUCCUAAAGAUGCAGCCGUCUUUAAGGGUUGGUCUGUUCGACCAUUAAAAUUCUACGUGAUCUGAGUUCAGACCGG
rnacentral:rRNA from 1 species